GAUGAACGCUGGCGGCGUGCCUAAUACAUGCAAGUCGAGCGAACAGACGCGGAGCUUGCUCCUUUGACGUUAGCGGCGGACGGGUGAGUAACACGUGGAUACCCUACCUAUAAGACUGGGAUAACUUCGGGAAACCGGCGCUAAUACCGGAUAAUAUAUUGAACCGCAUGGUUCAAUAGUGAAAGACGGUUUUGCUGUCACUUAUAGAUGGAUCCGCGCCGCAUUAGCUAGUUGGUAAGGUAACGGGUUACCAAGGCAACGAUGCGUAGCCGACCUGAGAGGGUGAUCGGCCACACUGGAACUGAGCCACGGUCCAGACUCCUACGGGAGGCAGCAGUAGGGAAUCUUCCGCAAUGGGCGAAAGCCUGACGGAGCAACGCCGCGUGAGUGAUGAAGGUCUUCGGAUCGUAAAACUCUGUUAUUAGGGAAGAACAAAUGUGUAAGUAACUAUGCACGUCUUGACGGUACCUAAUCAGAAAGCCACGGCUAACUACGUG
rnacentral:rRNA from 1 species